AUCCAUGUUCUUUCUCUCCUCCUCCUCCCUCCCUCCUAUCUACUCUCUAAAAAAAAGUUCAGAACCGCAUGCAAGAGCAACCUGGAGAGACUUUGACAGCUCAGGUCACCAUAAUACCUGCAGCUGCCACUUGCCUUUCCUAUAUCU